rnacentral:rRNA from 1 species
GACGAACGCUGGCGGCGUGCUUAACACAUGCAAGUCGAACGGAAAGGCCCUGCUUUUGUGGGGUGCUCGAGUGGCGAACGGGUGAGUAACACGUGAGUAACCUGCCCUUGACUUUGGGAUAACUUCAGGAAACUGGGGCUAAUACCGGAUAGGAGCUCCUGCUGCAUGGUGGGGGUUGGAAAGUUUCGGCGGUUGGGGAUGGACUCGCGGCUUAUCAGCUUGUUGGUGGGGUAGUGGCUUACCAAGGCUUUGACGGGUAGCCGGCCUGAGAGGGUGACCGGCCACAUUGGGACUGAGAUACGGCCCAGACUCCUACGGGAGGCAGCAGUGGGGAAUAUUGCACAAUGGGCGGAAGCCUGAGGCAGCAACGCCGCGUGCGGGAUGACGGGCUUCGGGUUGUAAACCGCUUUCGCCUGUGACGAAGCGUGAGUGACGGUAAUGGGUAAAGAAGCACCGGCUAACUACGUG